CUUUAAAAAUAAAAUUACCUGUUUUCUGGGCUCUGCAUUGGAAUCAAGAAUAAACUGAAAAUCUAAACCUCCUACAUCAUGAAGAUGGAUCCGCAUUACGUCGUGACUGCUAACAAAUAAAAUGAAAUUGAAUGAAAGAUUACUAAUUGAAAGUACAUUGAAUUGAAUGAAAUACGCAUUUAAAUGGCUUCCCUUAAAAGAUUAAGACAUCCUCAACUGUUGUCGCAAAAGACACUGGAUUCCCAUCCUCAUCUCUCAACCAUGUACCACCAUCCUCCAUUCAAUCCACUGCCGAAUGCUGUUCUCUUACAAUUCGUUCGUUCAACAAAGUGGGAGGGACACAGGAGUAGCAGGCGUCGAAUCAGACUCACAAUCCGUGUAUUUUCAAGAACAAUUUCUAAAUCUAUUUUUACGCACUGCAGAUCGUGGAUUUUUAAAGAGU